rnacentral:rRNA from 1 species
AUUGAACGCUGGCGGAAUGCUUUACACAUGCAAGUCGAACGGCAGCACGGGGGCAACCCUGGUGGCGAGUGGCGAACGGGUGAGUAAUACAUCGGAACGUGCCCGGUCGUGGGGGAUAACGUAGCGAAAGUUACGCUAAUACCGCAUACGAUCUGAGGAUGAAAGCGGGGGACCUUCGGGCCUCGCGCGAUCGGAGCGGCCGAUGUCAGAUUAGGUAGUUGGUGGGGUAAAGGCCUACCAAGCCGACGAUCUGUAGCUGGUCUGAGAGGACGACCAGCCACGCUGGGACUGAGACACGGCCCGGACUCCUACGGGAGGCAGCAGUGGGGAAUGUUGGACAAUGGGCGCAAGCCUGAUCCAGCCAUUCCGCGUGCAGGACGAAGGCCUUCGGGUUGUAAACUGCUUUUGUAUGGAACGAAAAGGCUCUGGCUAAUACCUGGGGCUCAUGACGGUACCGUAAGAAUAAGCACCGGCUAACUACGUG